rnacentral:pre_miRNA from 1 species
AGUGGCGUUGCUGGGUUAUAUGGUGCCUCUGUUUAACCUUUUGAAGAACCGCCAGAUUGUUUUCCAAGGUGGUUCUACUGUUUACAUUCCCACCAGCAAU